rnacentral:RNase_P_RNA from 2 species
CAUGCAUUGAACCUCGUCGCGCUCCGCAAUGGCGGUGUGAGGAAAGUCCGGGCAACAUAGAGCAGCGUACCACCUAACGGAUGGGUUCCGAUGAAGAUCGGAAACAGAUAGUGUCACAGAAACUAAACCGCUCCGAGCAAUCGGGGUAAGGGUGAAAAUGUGUGGUAAGAGCGCACACUUCUUUGUAGUAAUAUGAAGAUGGGAUAAACCUUACGUGUUGAAAUGCCAAGUAUAUCCGGAUCAUUUCAUUUUUCGGAAUGAAUGUAAGUGCGGCUCGCAUAACGCCGGAGGGGUAGGCAGUAAAGAGGUGUCUGGCGACAGACAUCCAAGAUAAAUGACGGGGCUUCCUUCGGGAAUGACAGAAUCCGGCUUAUAUCAAUGCAUUUUUA